rnacentral:rRNA from 1 species
AUUGAACGCUGGCGGCAGGCCUAACACAUGCAAGUCGAGCGGAUGAGUGGAGCUUGCUCCAUGAUUCAGCGGCGGACGGGUGAGUAAUGCCUAGGAAUCUGCCUGGUAGUGGGGGACAACGUUUCGAAAGGAACGCUAAUACCGCAUACGUCCUACGGGAGAAAGUGGGGGAUCUUCGGACCUCACGCUAUCAGAUGAGCCUAGGUCGGAUUAGCUAGUUGGUGAGGUAAAGGCUCACCAAGGCGACGAUCCGUAACUGGUCUGAGAGGAUGAUCAGUCACACUGGAACUGAGACACGGUCCAGACUCCUACGGGAGGCAGCAGUGGGGAAUAUUGGACAAUGGGCGAAAGCCUGAUCCAGCCAUGCCGCGUGUGUGAAGAAGGUCUUCGGAUUGUAAAGCACUUUAAGUUGGGAGGAAGGGCAGUAAGUUAAUACCUUGCUGUUUUGACGUUACCAACAGAAUAAGCACUGGCUAACUUCGUGCCAACAGCCGCAGUAACAC